rnacentral:SRP_RNA from 1 species
GCCAGGCGUAGUGGUGUGCGCCUGUAAUCCCUGCUACUUAGGAGGCUGAGGCAGGAGAAUCACUUGAACCCGGGAGGCGGAGGCUGCAGUGAGCCGCGAUGGUGCCACUGCACUCCAGCCUGGGAGACAAAGUGAGACUCUGUUUCAA